UACGGAGGGUGCGAGCGUUGUUCGGAAUCACUGGGCGUAAAGGGCGUGUAGGCGGUCCGCUAAGUCUGAUGUGAAAGCCCGGGGCUCACCCCCGGAAGUGCAUUGGAAACUGGCGGACUCGAGUCCCGGAGAGGAGAGUGGAAUUCAUGGUGUAGCAGUGAAAUGCGUAGAGAUCAUGAGGAAGACCAGUGGCGAAAGCGGGUCUCUGGACAGUUACCGACGCUGAGGCACGAAGGCCAGGGGAGCAAACGGG
rnacentral:rRNA from 1 species